rnacentral:tRNA from 1 species
GCAGAAAUGGCCGAGCGGUUAAGGCGACUGACUAGAUAUCAGUUUCCCUCUGGGAGCGUAGGUUCGACCAUCUGCGCAGCAUUUUGCU